rnacentral:rRNA from 1 species
UGAGGAAUAUUGGUCAAUGGACGGAAGUCUGAACCAGCCAUGCCGCGUGAAGGAUGAAGGCGUUCUGCGUUGUAAACUUCUUUUAUCUGGGAAGAAACCACAGAUUUCUAUUUGUGUUGACGGUACCAGAGGAAUAAGCACCGGCUAACUCCGUGCCAGCAGCCGCGGUAAUACGGAGGGUGCGAGCGUUAUCCGGAUUUACUGGGUUUAAAGGGUGCGUAGGCGGGCUAUUAAGUCAGAGGUGAAAUCUCCGGGCUCAACCUGGAAACUGCCUUUGAUACUAUUAGCCUUGAAUUAUGUUGAGGUUGGCGGAAUAUAACAUGUAGCGGUGAGAUGCUUAGAUAUGUUAUGGAACACCGAUUGCGAAGGCAGCUGGCUAAACAUAUAUUGACGCUGAUGCACGAAAGCGUGGGUAGCGAACA